rnacentral:tRNA from 1 species
GAAAUAUAUUUUUAAGCUUCUAACUUAAUACUUAGCAAUUAUGUUAAUAUUUCU